rnacentral:rRNA from 1 species
ACCACGACUCUCGACAAUGGAUAUCU